rnacentral:tRNA from 1 species
CGCAGGGUGCCCCGGCCGUCCGCGAGGCACUGGCCGAGGCCGUCGACGUCCGGACCCGGGCGGGCGGCGUGGU